rnacentral:rRNA from 1 species
UACGGGGGGGGGCAAGCGUUUGUUCGGAAUUACUGGGCGUAAAGGGCCAGUAGGCGGCCAACUAAGUCGGAUGUGAAAUCCCCAGGCUUAACCUGGGAACUGCAUCCGAUACUGGGAUGGCUUGAAUUCGGGAGAGGGAUGCAGAAUUCCAGGUGUAGCGGUGAAAUGCGUAGAUAUCUGGAGGAACACCGGUGGCGAAGGCGGCAUCCUGGACCGACACUGACGCUGAGGCGCGAAAAGCUAGGGUAGCAAACGGGG